AUUGAACGCUGGCGGCAGGCCUAACACAUGCAAGUCGAACGAGUGGCGGACGGGUGAGUAAUGUCUGGGAAACUGCCUGAUGGAGGGGGAUAACUACUGGAAACGGUCGCUAAUACCGCAUACCAUCAGAUGUGCCCUGAUGGGAUUAGCUUGUUGGUGGGGUAACGGCUCACCUAGGCGACGAUCCCUAGCUGGUCUGAGAGGAUGACCAGCCACACUGGAACUGCGACACGGUCCAAACUCCUACGGGAGGAAGCAGUGGGGAAUGUUGCACGAUGGGCGCAAGCCUGAUGCAGCCAGGCCGCGUGUAUGAAGAAGGCCUUCGGGUUGUAAAGUACUUUCAGCGGGGAGGCGUUACCCGCAGAAGAAGCACCGGCUAACUCCGUGCCAGCAGCCGCGGUAAUUC
rnacentral:rRNA from 1 species